rnacentral:rRNA from 1 species
CCCUUAGAUGUUCGGGGCCGCACGCGCGCUACACUGAAGGAAUCAGCACGUCUUUCUCCUUGUCCGAAAGGACUGGGUAACCCGCUGAACCUCCUUCGUGCUAGGGAUUGGGGCUUGUAAUUCUUCCCCAUGAACGAGGAAUUCCCAGUAAGCGCGAGUCAUAAGCUCGCGUUGAUUACGUCCCUGCCCUUUGUACACACCGCCCGUCGCUACUACCGAUUGGAUGGUUUAGUGAGAUCCUCGGAUUGGUCCCGGAGCGGCCUCUGGUCGUGCCGGAGUGCCGAAAAGAAUGUCAAACUUGAUCAUCUAGAGGAAGUAAAAGUCGUAACA